rnacentral:rRNA from 1 species
GAUGAACGCUAGCGGCAGGCCUAAUACAUGCAAGUCGAACGGCAGCAGGCUGUAGCAAUACAGUGCUGGCGAGUGGCGCACGGGUGCAUAACACGUAUGUAAUUUGCCCAUAACUGGGGGGAUAGCCUUCCGAAAGGAAGAUUAAUACCCCCAUAACCCAGCGAGGUGGCAUCACUUUUCUGGUAAAACUACCGGUGGUUAUGGAUAAGCAUGCGCUGAUUAGCUAGUUGGCGAGGUAACGGCUCACCAAGGCAACGAUCAGUAGGGGGUCUGAGAGGAUGACUCCCCCACACGGGUACUGAGACACGGACCCGACUCCUGCGGGAGGCAGCAGUAAGGAAUAUUGGACAAUGGA